rnacentral:rRNA from 1 species
CCUACGGGUGGCUGCAGUGAGGAAUAUUGGGCAAUGGGGGCAACCCUGACCCAGCCAUGCCGCGUGAGUGAAGAAGGUCUUCGGAUUGUAAAGCUCUUUCGGACGUGACGAUGAUGACGGUAGCGUCUAAAGAAGCACCGGCAAACUUCGUGCCAGCAGCCGCGGUAAUACGAAGGGUGCGAGCGUUGUUCGGAAUUACUGGGCGUAAAGGGAGUGUAGCCGGGCUGACAAGUCAGAUGUGAAAUCCGGGGGCUCAACCCCCGAACUGCAGUUGAAACUGUUGGUCUUGAGUAUCGGAGAGGCAGGCGGAAUUCCUGGUGUAGCGGUGAAAUGCGUAGAUAUUAGGAGGAACACCAGUGGCGAAGGCGGCCUGCUGGACGACAGCUGACGGUGAGGCGCGAAAGCGUGGGGAGCAAACAGGAUUAGAUACCCCGGUAGUC